rnacentral:lncRNA from 1 species
CGCGCGACCUGUUCCUCGGAGGGCCUCCGCACCCUCCCACACAUUCCCUGCAGUGGCGCCGGCCGCGUCCUGAAUGGCACCUGGUCGGCUCUUUUGUUGUCAGCGCAGGAAGCCUUUUUGUUUUUUUCUUGCUUUUCCUUUGCAUAGAACUGUGCCACGAAGUCGUCGUGUCUGGCCCACGUUUGCAUCCCCUACAAAGGCGGCCUGAAAUUGAUGAAAGCGUUCAGUGUCCGUUAAACUCCAGCCUGCAUUAGAAAGAUCUGCAUCAAGCUGAAUAGACAUGUGACACGGAUGAACCUUGAUAGCUUCCUGACAGGACCUCGCUGUGCAGUACAGGCUGGCCUUGAAUGCUAGCCUCGAACUCGUGGCGAUCCUGCCUCAGCCUGCCUCAGCCUGCCUCAGCCUGCCUCAGCCUGCCUCAUCCUCUUGGCUCUGAUUUGCUCCUGUACCCUUGCUGCUGCACAUCCAUCCGGGUCGACCCCCCGCUACCCCAG